AUACUAUUCCCUCUAUCUGAAAAUACUUGUCUUAGAAAUAGAUGUAUCUAGACUUAUUUUAGUUAUAAAUACAUUUAUUUUAUAUAUUUUUAGGACAAAUAUUUUCGGACGAAGGAAGUACAAG
rnacentral:pre_miRNA from 1 species